UUCCCUUUCUCCCCCAACCUCCAGCUCGAUCAUCUCCCAUUCUCUUCUCCGACGAGCAUCUCAAUCAGCCCUCCUCAUUUCCUCCCUUCCACCCCCUUGAUCAGCCUUUCUCAGCCCUCCGCAACCCUCCCCAUUCCUCCCCUUCCACCCUCUCGAUUAGCCCUCUCCAUUCCUUCUCUCCAAUCAGUCUUGAAACCAUUUCCUGCUCGAAUAAAUUUUGUUCCCCAUGAAAAUCCCUUCGACCUUCCAUAGUGAAGGUGAUAAGGGUUAGUUGAAAGGGCAAUUGUUGACUGCCGUUGGAAGAGAUGGGAACAACCAGAUGCUCCCUAUAGCAUGGGCAAUAGUGGAGAAAGAGACAACAUAGAGCUAGACAUGGUUUUUUUGAGCAUUUGAAGGCUGAUCUUUGUAUUGGAGAAGGCCUUGAAUGAUCUUUAGUUAGUGACAUGUAAAAGGGUCUCAUUCAUGUAGUAAAUGAUCCUUUCCCCUUCAUUGAACACAGGAUGUGUGCUAGACAAAUAUACGCAAGGUGGGAAAAGAAGUUCCAAAAUGGAGAUCUCCAAUUGUAAUUUUGGAAUAUUGUCAUGGCAACUAUAAUCAACCUUAUGUGGAGAAACAGCUUGAAGUUAUGAGGAAUGUAAAUGGGGGAGAGGUAGCUAUGGCUGAAUGAUUGGAGAAAUGACCAAUCAGAGGGUGGUUCCAGGCUUACUUCAAUGAUGUGGUGAAGUGUGAGGCUGUGGACAACAACAUGUGUGAGACUUUCAAUGGAGUCCUCCUUGACGCUAGAAGCAAGCCAAUAAUCUCCCUAUGUGAAGAAAUCAAACAAUACACCAUGAACAGAAUAGUUACCAAGAGAUCACAUGCCUCGAAAUAGAAAUUUGAGCGUGUGCCUAACAUAAUUAAAAAGCUUGAAAAGGGGGAAAAAAGUGUAAGAUGAUAGGUGGAUUGGAAUGGAGGAUCAUGUCAUGAGGUGUUCUGUGAUGAUUUUGUGCAGUUUGUUAGACAAAGAUAGUUGUUAUGCUGGCAAGACAUGGUUGUAGCUGUAGGAAAUGAGACAAAACUGGCAUACCAUGUUAGCAUGCCAUUGCAAUUAUCUCUUCUUGUGGGGCAGACCCAAUCAACUGCCUGUUUGAAUGGUUCAGCAAAGAUACCUAUUUAAGUGCAUACCAGUAUAAUGUCAAGACACUAAGAGAUAGAGAGUUUUGGACAACAUGUGAAGAAUGAGAUAAUGGCAGGUAGGCUUGCAAAAAAAAGGAAGAAAAGAACCACUAGAAGUGCAGAAAAAUAGUAUUGGAAAAGUUUCUAAGAUAGGGAGGACCAUGAGAUGCAGUAUAUAUCAUGUCGAAGGCCACAACAGAGCACACUGCCCAAACAAACCCCAAACUAUGAGUUUUGGCUUCAUGUGAAGAAUGAGCAUUACUACCACUAAUUGCUAGGAUAAUGGCAGGUAGGCUUGCAAAAAAAGGAAGAAGAGAACCACUAGAAGUGCAGAAAAAUAGCAUUGGAAAAGUUUCUAAGAUAGGGAAGACCAUGAGAUGCAGUAUAUAUCAUGUCGAAGGCCACAACAGAGCACACUGCCCAAACAAACCCCAAACUAUGAGUUUUGGCUUCAUUUGUUUGCUAAGUUGUUUAAAUGGACAUGAAUUUAUUUUUUUAUUUUUUUAUUUUUUUUUUGUUGGUGCUCAUGUAGGUUUCAUAUGAAGGAACAUAGCCUGAGUCAAAUCCUGCACCUGCUACUGGUGUUACAGAGCCAUCAAGGAAGAAAAGCAAGCAAUAAUUGGAGGAAGGGGAAGAUGGAAGAAAGGGGGAGGAAUAAUAAGAAUCUUAGAUUCCCAUAGUGUUUGACUUAUAGUGGGGAGAGUGCCACCAUAUAGUUCCUUCUUCAUUACAGCUAAUGAGUUAAUGCAGGCAAGAAGAUAUACGAUGGUAAUUGCACAUGGUGCACUCUCUGAAGAAGCAUCAGCAUGCCACCAGAGCUCGAUAGCACUUGAGGUGUCGGAGCUAUCAACACAACAAAGCUGUGCACAAGACACAAACUGAGGGUCUCCUCAAAAUUAAAUUACUUGAUGUGUUUGUAUGGAGUUUUUUUGGAAUAGACAUAUAUGGAAUGUGUGACUGGUAAUCAGUUUGUGAGAUACUACUGUGUAAUUUUGAAGCCGCACAACACAGUUGGCUAUUGCUUUUUUUUUUUGUGGAUAAUGUAUGUAUUGGGAUACUACUGUGACUGAUAUUUAUCUUGUGAAAUACUGAUGUGUAAUUUUGAAA